rnacentral:rRNA from 1 species
UACGUAGGUGGCAAGCGUUAUCCGGAAUUAUUGGGCGUAAAGAGCGCGCAGGUGGUUGAUUAAGUCUGAUGUGAAAGCCCACGGCUUAACCGUGGAGGGUCAUUGGAAACUGGUCGACUUGAGUGCAGAAGAGGGAAGUGGAAUUCCAUGUGUAGCGGUGAAAUGCGUAGAGAUAUGGAGGAACACCAGUGGCGAAGGCGGCUUCCUGGUCUGUAACUGACACUGAGGCGCGAAAGAGUGGGGAGCAAACAGGAUUAGAUACA